UACCACGCAGAAGAUGUGUACCCCAGGGAAAGAAGAAACCUAUGCUGGGAAAAAGUUGUGGUACGAGCCUGGUGUGAACCAAAACUUUACUGAGGCUGGUACUAUUGAGGCUGUCUGCAGGAUUGCAGGUGGUAGAUCAAAAUUUGCUGAAAUUCAAAAUGGCAUCUCAGUUCUGCAAAUGGAACCUGUUUUAUGGCUGUUAUGUGUCCUAAAGCCCUAUGCUGCUUCUCCACAGCUGGUCUGCAAACACCUCCCCUACAGCCAGUGCAUAGGAUGUUCACAAUUUUUUAACUUCUAAAAAAAGGAA